CUAGCCUCUGUCCGUCGCUGCAAAAUCAGUGACCGGGUUUGGUCGCCCGGGUU
rfam:Pseudomonas sp. GM78 PMI35_contig271.271, whole genome shotgun sequence.